rnacentral:rRNA from 1 species
UACGGGAGGCAGCAGUGAGGAAUAUUGGACAAUGGAGGAGACUCUGAUCCAGCCAUGCCGCGUGUAGGAAGAAUGCCCUAUGGGUUGUAAACUACUUUUAUACAGGAAGAAACACUAGUAUGUAUACUAGCUUGACGGUACUGUAAGAAUAAGGACCGGCUAACUCCGUGCCAGCAGCCGCGGUAAU